rnacentral:rRNA from 1 species
AACGAACGCUGGCGGCAGGCCUAACACAUGCAAGUCGAGCGCCCCGCAAGGGGAGCGGCAGACGGGUGAGUAACGCGUGGGUAUCUACCUAGUGGUACGGAAUAGCCCAGGGAAACUUGGAGUAAUACCGUAUAAGCCCGAAAGGGGAAAGAUUUAUCGCCAUUAGAUGAGCCCGCGUUGGAUUAGCUAGUUGGUGGGGUAACGGCCCACCAAGGCGACGAUCCAUAGCUGGUUUGAGAGAAUGACCAGCCACACUGGGACUGAGACACGGCCCAGACUCCUACGGGAGGCAGCAGUGGGGAAUCUUGGACAAUGGGCGAAAGCCUGAUCCAGCCAUGCCGCGUGAGUGACGAAGGUCUUCGGAUUGUAAAGCUCUUUUGGCGGGGACGAUAAUGACGGUACCCGCAGAAUUAGCCCCGGCUAACUUCGUGCCAGCAGCCGCAGUAAAAC